rnacentral:tRNA from 1 species
GGGCGGAUGGCGGAAUGGCAUACGCGCAUGGCUUAGGACCAUGUGGGGAAACCCUUGGAGGUUCAACUCCUCUUCCGCCCA